AGAGGUCUGUAAUGACAUGCCCUACAAGGCACCACUCCCUCACUAAGUUUAACAAGAUCACCUUCUUCAUUAUGGAAGCCAACUAACCGAGGCUCUAAGGUCUCUUCAGGCUGCUGGGCAAAGGGAUCCUGACAGGCCCUACAUUCUUUUUUACUGAAGGCCUGAGAUUCAAUAACUUGCUGUGUUGAAGAAGGUCUGUUGGCACAAGGACAUGCUGGGAGCUAACAGCAACCACUGGACGCAAUUUUGCAUGCAGAGCACCCGAAAACUCUAUCACUGAUUCAUCCCGGGGUACAAGUGAAGGAAAACCACAAGGAGUUCAUUUGUUUGAUAGAUAUUUAUUCUGCAACGUAAUUUCCCUGUGACAGGCCUCUGGCCGGUCAUUCAGCACUGCGCAUGAGAUGUCCUACCUCAGCCACUCAGAGUGCAUGACCAGUACUCAGAAGAUGAUUGCCGUGUAUUGGACCCACUCAAGGACCUCAACAACUGGUGCCAGUGCUGAGAAUAUUGAGCAACAAAAAAGAGUAAAUGGUUUGUAACACAUUGGAGAAGCUUUGUUAUUGGGGCUAGUAUCCGACCUGCUCGCUUGGAUCCUGGCAGUUUGUGUCUAUGUCUAAUACAUGGCCUGGGCAAUUCCAUGUGGGCAGAUGGUUUUGUGCCUUAGACCACAGAUUAUUUUAACCUUGGCUAGUGACUGUGCUUUAUGGCAGCUUUACCCAUAAGUGAUCGGCUGUUUUUGUUAACGUAAGUUACCUGAUUCUCCAGAAUAAUCUUCAGUAUUGAUAAAACAAACUGAAUUUUUAAAAACCUAGGGAAGAAAUUCUCCAGUAUUGCUCCUACUUUCCAGGUCGUCGUAUAAUUUUUGUUUCAUCAAAUUAUAAAUAAAAUCAUAAUGAUUAUAAAACUUGAAAUUCCUGUUAUCAUUUCAGUAUGAAAAAGCUACAACUCAUUUACUUAUGGACAGUUUCAAUCAAGUGAUGUUCAGGCUGUUUAGCCCAGGGUCAGUGUGGGCAGGUCAGAGGGUCAAGACAGCUUUAGCAAACAUGUGUAUGCUGAACCAAUGAGCCACAACUUUCUUGAGCAGGCAUGAUGGUGCCAAGGAUUAAAUGAUAGGAAAAAGAGAUUAUUUUUCAUAUUCAAGCCUUUCAGAUUUUAAAGGGCAUAAGAAACAUUACCUAUUUUUAUCGUAUUUUUUAGUUGGAUCUGUACAAUAUUAACAGGUAGCAUAGAAGGAGUCUUCAUGGCAUAGUUGUUAAGCACUUGGCUGCUAAUGGAAAGAUCAGCAGUUUGAACCCACCAGCUGCUCUGGAAGAGAAAGAUGUAGCAGUCAGCUUCCUUAAA